GACGAACGCUGGCGGCGUGCCUAAUACAUGCAAGUAGAACGCACAGUUUAUACCGUAGCUUGCUACACCAUAAACUGUGAGUUGCGAACGGGUGAGUAACGCGUAGGUAACCUGCCUGGUAGCGGGGGAUAACUAUUGGAAACGAUAGCUAAUACCGCAUAAUAUUAAUUAUUGCAUGAUAAUUGAUUGAAAGAUGCAAUUGCAUCACUACCAGAUGGACCUGCGUUGUAUUAGCUAGUAGGUGAGGUAACGGCUCACCUAGGCGACGAUACAUAGCCGACCUGAGAGGGUGAUCGGCCACACUGGGACUGAGACACGGCCCAGACUCCUACGGGAGGCAGCAGUAGGGAAUCUUCGGCAAUGGACGAAAGUCUGACCGAGCAACGCCGCGUGAGUGAAGAAGGUUUUCGGAUCGUAAAGCUCUGUUGUAAGAGAAGAACGGGUGUGAGAGUGGAAAGUUCACACUGUGACGGUAGCUUACCAGAAAGAGACGGCUAACUACGUG
rnacentral:rRNA from 1 species